ACAGGUACGAACAGCAGGGUGAGGUCUGCCUAGCCCACAGAACGAAUGAUUCAGAGCGAUCUGAGACACGGUGAUUCAGCGAUAGGCUAACAAACUGUUGGAUGGAAGGCAUGGAUCACAAGCUCUGUUCACUCUUCUGACAUGAAUUCAGAAAACACUGAGGCAGGCUGGAAUCUGUGGCUGUUUCGCCCCGAAGGCGAGACAAGCGCCGACACACCUUUCCCAACUCCUCUGGAAUGUUGUUUUGGGGGGAAAGCGGCGAGGAAAAGGUUGUGAUUCUGCACAGUGUGGCAAAGUGACCAACGAAGGAGGGAGAGGAACAUGAGAACAUGGAAGUUAAUGUGACCGAGUGAAGCGAGGGUUUGGUGUGUGUGUGUGUGUGUGGGAGGGAAUGAGCCAAGAGCCUGCACAAUAAAUGGGCGUGGAAGUUUCACGCUGAGUUUCACUGCCGGCUCUGAGUUGUUCCUGUCAAACAGCAGCUUAAAGGGCUCUGGGCUUUCACAGGGACCGGUUGGCCUCCCAGCUGCUGUCUCUUGGUCUCCUGCGAUGAUGACAGCGGCAGCGUUUGGACUGACAUCUCACUGAAACUUUCUAAAGGAAGAAUCUGGCAACUUAAACUGGAAUUUUGUUUAGGGCACAAGAAGACAGGAUACCUGCUUAGCAGCUUGUCGCUCUGAAGAAGCCACCGAACAACCUGAGGAGAGGAUUCACAACAGGAACUUUUAAAUCGGACCAGGUAUGUCCAAUUCACCUGUGACACCGGAAACAAGGGCAGAGAAUGAAGAGGUCUGCCUGACUCUCAUUCCGGGGACCGGUGACACCCAGAACAACAAUAACAACUGCAGUACAGACAGGAGGACACAGAACGCCGCCUCCUGCCUCAGAGAUGAGCACCACAGGAAACUGGCCAUCUGCAGCAUCAUCUGCGGGAUCUCCUGCAUUGGGAUCAAAGCUCUGAUCAGCUCAGUCAAGGCCGAGAAGACAAUAGACCCCGAGAAAGCUGCCGAGUUCUCACACCAGGCGAAAAAGUAUGGAAUCAUCUCCAUCGUGACGUGGGUCACCAUUCUGGUUUUGACUCCCUUAUUGUUGGCGCUGAUCUCAUAUCUUCUCACACUGAAAGACUGAUCAGAACCUGCGCAGAAGAAAACAAGCAGGGGACUUUUCUGACUUUACGGAGACAAAUGGCAGACUGCCAAAAACUCAAGGCUGCUUAUCAGCUAUUAAGAACCAGGAGGGAACUGGUUACAAGGAACACACAGAGACAGCUUCCAGCUUUUCAUGUGCUGAUAAAUGGACAGAUCUCCCCGGGUCCACUUGCACACUUCCUCUUUAACCACCAUAUUUUUUUACAACAGGAACAAACACUCUAGAAUAUGGCGUUAAAAACCAUACUUUUGUAUGUCUUUUUUAAUACACUGUAAUAUUUAUUUAACAAUAUAUGAACACAAUUCAAAGUCUAAAUGGCCAUAUAAAAUCCAGCAUUAACUAUACUCUGAGACAUGGCACUACAUGACAUAUGUACAUUUAAAAUCAAUGUUUACAAAAGUCAUUCCCCAGCCAAGACCCAAUCCUUAAUAUUUUUGCACUGUAAAUGGUAUUACUCAUGUAUAGGUGCUGUAUAUACUUGCAGAUAUUACUACACGUCCAUACAUUACUCCAUCUGUCAGUCUGGAAAGCAGAAAUGUAAACCUGUUCAUUAAGGAUUGGGUCUCUACUCCAAUAAAACAGGAUGGCAGUGCUUCUUCAGAACAUUAUGAGAUCCUGCUCUUGUUGCCAGCGUCAACUUGGCAUUAUUGCAUUGUUACUGUGUUAAGCUUUAUUAACGUCAGAUGUAUCAGUAUGUGGUGCUUUUAUACAGACAUAUAAACAAUGAGACAAUUUCAUAAUAAAAACAAGUAAAAUUU